rnacentral:rRNA from 1 species
GACGAACGCUGGCGGCGUGCUUAACACAUGCAAGUCGAACGAUGAAGGAGAGAAACGCGAACUUCGGUUCAAAUUUCACUUCGGAUUAGUGGCAGACGGGUGAGUAACGCGUGAGCAACCUACCUCUUACAAAGGGAUAGCCUCGGGAAACCGUGAUUAAUACCAUAUGACACCUUCAUAAGGCAUCUUAAGAAUGUUAAAGCUACGGCGGUAAGAGAUGGGCUCGCGUCCCAUUAGCUAGUUGGUGAGGUAACGGCCCACCAAGGCGACGAUGGGUACCGGCCUGAGAGGGGGAGCGGUCACAUUGGAACUGAGACACGGUCCAAACUCCUACGGGAGGCAGCAGUGGGGAAUAUAGCACAAUGGAGGGAACUCUGAUGCAGCGACGCCGCGUGAGCGAUGAAGGAAUUCGUUUCGUAAAGCUCUGUUCUAUGGGAAGAAAAGGACUGUACCAUAGGAGAAAGCCCCGGCUAAAUACGUG